CUUGUCGAUCACAAUCAUCGAUUUGUGAGUGGUCGAAAAAGAAAGUGAUUUCAAUCAGCACACAAAUGCCAAUAAAUUCCCAUUAGAAAUCCACACGCGCUCAACAUCGGACAUGCUCCAGGGCACGUAUACGUCGAAUACGAAUACGAAUACGUCUACGAAUACGAGAAUCCGAGUCCGAAUAUACCCUUGGAAUGCCAGGCGUCAAUCCAUGCAGCAGCAGCAGAAGCGGCAGCAGCAAGUCAGGGCAUUGACAAUGGACUCAAGAUGGGGCAAUGAAUAAAACGAAGCGGGAGGGGGGAGUUGGCUGACAAUCCUCGAACCAAGUGCUACGCAUCACGAGCCGGUUACUCGACGUACUUCAAUUUUUUGGUCAAGUCGAGUGUGUCCCAAAGAGUUGUUGGCCAACGAGAUUUGCAUUUUGAUGAAUUGCAGGCGAGAAGCCGAAAGAUGUUUUGGCCCAACAUGGAGCUACUACUACUCUGUACUCUACCUCUUGUCGGACAUGAUGUGACUAUGAGCGGAGAGACCCGAGAGUUUGCCCAGACUGUUUCCAUGCCGAGCCAUGCCAUGCCAUGAAUCUCCAUCGUGUCCAGUUCGUCGUCGUCGACGAGAUCGCGAUAAGAAUUACCGCUCGCUCCAUGCUCCAUGCGAAGCGGGCGAGAUGAAAAGCUUUUGUAGCUUUUGCCCCUGGCCAAAACGAAAUAUUGGCUAAACGCUGAUGCCGUCUACAAGUAUGUGUAACUGUAAGUGAUUACUUUACAUGGCCAACAACAACAACAACAACAAGAGCAACAAGAAAAACAAACAUUGUUCACAAUGGAGCGCCGCCUGCUCAUGGCCAGCAAUACCAAUAGCGAAAAAUUGUGAACGACACGACGAGAGACGCGAACUUGACACUCGCAAAAUGGAUUCGUGGCUGUGUGUACUAUAAGUACUAUAGUGUUAUAUCUUGAUGCCCACAUCUAAUCUAAAUUCAUAAGUCGACCUGAGCAACAAUGGCAGCAUUCACCGCGAAACGUGUGAGUGCGUGAGUGAUUGCCGUUAUGUGGCUAGCCGAAGCUGAAGUCGAACAGCGAACAACAUUAACGUGGGAUCAUAUCAAACUGACAUAUUCCCUAUCAUUGUGACCAUCUUGAUUUAUGCCCUUCAAAGUGGCGAGCUUGUCGUGCCAAUGGUUCUCUCUUCUCUCUUCGAAAAGGGAUCAUUAGUGCAGAUAGUUUAUCCGCCUCACUUAUCAAGGUCAGC